CUGAAUUGUCAAAGAGAGUGUACAUGUAGCCUCUUUGGUUACAAUACAAUAUUAAAAAACUGCCGGAUACACAGGGGGGACUUCACUUCCGGAAUAUCAGAGGAGACCGGAUGGAGAUACUUUUCUCAUUAUUAUCUUCCCGUGGAUUGUGAGGAUAUUCGUCGUAAUGGUCACCAUUGUACAGGGGUUUACGUAAUCUAUCCCUUUGGUAUGAACUCUCGCCCUGUCCGUGUGUACUGUGACAUGACAAAUCAGGGCGGAGGAUGGACGGCCAUUCAAAAACGAAUAGACGGGUCCGUGUCCUUCGAAAGGAAUUGGGCUGACUAUAAGGAUGGUUUUGGUGCACCUGAGCGGGA